AUUCGGACGACGAGUUCCAAAUAGGACGAAACGCGUAUCCUGGAU
rnacentral:hammerhead_ribozyme from 1 species